GAUGAACGCUGGCGGCGUGCCUAAUACAUGCAGGUCGAGCGAACAGACGAGGAGCUUGCUCCUCUGACGUUAGCGGCGGACGGGUGAGUAACACGUGGAUAACCUACCUAUAAGACUGGGAUAACUUCGGGAAACCGGAGCUAAUACCGGAUAAUAUAUUGAACCGCAUGGUUCAAUAGUGAAAGACGGUUUUGCUGUCACUUAUAGAUGGAUCCGCGCCGCAUUAGCUAGUUGGUAAGGUAACGGCUUACCAAGGCGACGAUGCGUAGCCGACCUGAGAGGGUGAUCGGCCACACUGGAACUGAGACACGGUCCAGACUCCUACGGGAGGCAGCAGUAGGGAAUCUUCCGCAAUGGGCGAAAGCCUGACGGAGCAACGGCGCGUGAGUGAUGAAGGUCUUCGGAUCGUAAAACUCUGUUAUUAGGGAAGAACAAAUGUGUAAGUAACUAUGCACGUCUUGACGGUACCUAAGCAGAAAGCCACGGCUAACUACGU
rnacentral:rRNA from 1 species